UAGGUACCCAUAUGAAGGAGGAUUAUACUAUACACAGGAAGCAGGAAUUCGCAGUGCUUCACAGAGUGACCCAAGUUAAAACCUCUCCCAUGGAAUCUGCUCAGGUGCAGAGAAGGAUGAAGUAGGGGAUGUCUUUACCUCUAUUUCCAACUGGGUCCCUGAUUCCCAGAGAGUACAGUUAUCCUGAAGAUCCUUAUUUGCCUCGUCUAUGGACGGUUCAGACUCGAGGAAGAAUCUGCAUAAUUGUCCCCGCAGUUUCUCUAUCUCUCGGAGGGUUCAAGUGACAGAGGUUGUUAGCCCGAGAAACAGGAUGUUUGCAUUAUUGAUUAGGCUACGCUGCUUUGACUGAAUUAGUGGAGAAUAUCCUCGGCUGCUUUGCAUGGGUCACGUCCGCCUGCUUCUUGUCCAUCCAUUCUGGGGAGAUUCUGUGGCGGCCGCCUGUGUUAGACAUCACGUCUCACCUUGUCCUUUCAGCCUGUCAGUCAUCUUACCUGCUGUGCUGAUUAAAAACCU